AACUACAGCAAGCAGUACAUUUGUGAGGCAGGAACUGUGGAGAGACUGGAGAUCCAUCUGAAAUAUGAACUGUGCCUGAAACUUGUGUGAAUUCUGUUGCUGGUUGAUUGCGGCCCUGCCUUAAAUGCAGGCAUCUACCUCCAUCUCUCCUCUGUGGUCCAGAGAGCAUCACAAGAGAAGCAGAAAGAGUGUGAGAGCUGGAGGCUGCAGGGAGAACAAGGAAAUCGUCUUCUGGAUAUGACAUUACUAUUGCAAUCAGGUUGAUUUUACAAUUGAUGGUGAGGCAUGUUUCUUCAAGAAAGCAAAAGGGUAAUGAUCCACCUUAUGGACUUGAGGAAUGGUGACUGGAGAUUCGGAUAAGACAUAAGAAGACAAACCCCUAUAUGCUAUUUGCACAGCAUGAUGAACUUGGCUCUGCACGAAACUCUGCUGAAGUUCUGGAAUCAGACUUUCAUGAACUAGAUGCUCUGAGAUUUCUCUUCUUCUCACUGAUGGGAGAGAAAACAAUUUUAUGUGCCAUGUGGUCUAUCAUACCAUCCUGCGUCAAGAUGUGAGUCAAAGGCAUCCAAAACCAGACCUGGGAUCUCUAAACCUUUGAACCAAAAUAAG